UGGUGAAGUGAUUUGUCUGCUUAAUUGCGUUAACGAACGAGAUCUCUGCCUCUUAAUAGGUGGCGGCGACGUUUUAAGCAGCUGUGGGAGGGUCCGAGUAGGUUUCGGCCUAUGAGGCUCUCUUUUGCUGUGAGUCUGCCGUGAAACUUCUUAGAGGGACUGUGUACGUUCCAGUACACGGAAGGUAGAGCCAAUAGCA
rnacentral:rRNA from 1 species